CCAGUCAACCCCUGCUUGAUCGUCGUUGCUCCAAACCCGGUUCCACUUCACCACUCAAGCACUUGCGUAUUCUGCGUCGUCACUGUUUCCUUGUACUUUGUUUUCCCUGCGUCUAACCCUGUCUGUCUGUCUCCCCUCCAGGUUCACUCGCCUCCAUCCUCCAUUCCGUCAGCUUUAUACCAACGAUGGAUCAAAAUGUAAUGUGAAAGGAGUCACUCAUAGUAACAAACCCACAGAAUUACCACCCGACUGCAGUGUUUAAACCAUGUCUGAACAAACCCGUUUAAAAAGGCAUUUUAAUCUAAAACCAGUUAAAAGUGGCUAGUCCUGGAAUUUUACAAAGGGUUAAAAUCUAGGAACUGGGGUCUGUGUCUAACAUAGUACUUGCAAAGGAUUGAUAAAUUUAUUCAAGUAAAUUAAAAUUGUUAAUAUUACAUGUUUUACUAUGAAUCUAUUUACUAUUAAAAUUAUAGUGUGCUAUUUAUUUAUAUAUUUGUAACAGGAUACUAUAACAUGAAACAGAUGUGUUGCAUGAAGGGUUUCUAGCCAAGGCUAAUUUGGGAUCCCUGUCCCCAGUUGGUAGGGCAUUCCAAAAAUGUAUCCCUUUUACCGAGAAAGAUGACUGACCGAAAGUGGUUUUGCGCUGUGCGACCCUGCAGUUGCCACAAAGUACAGCCGGGGCGCGAUGGUUCACACAUUUAAAAAUCAACUUCAUAAAAGAAACUGUCAAAACUGAGCAACUCAGAAUUAUACAGUUGUGCCAUUUCAUUUGUUUUUGAUCCAUUAUUUUCAGUGAUUGUUUGUGUAGUGAUGUAAUGAGUUUGACUAAAAAUAUAUCCCUUCUACUUGAAUGAGACUUGUAAAAAAGUGCCUUAGCUCCACUGUUUGGAAUGCAU